GGGCGAUUAGCUCAGCAGGUUAGAGCGCGGCGCUCACAUCGCCGAGGCCACUGGUUCGAGUCCAGUAUCGCCCACCA
rnacentral:tRNA from 1 species